rnacentral:tRNA from 1 species
AGGGCAAUAGCUCAGUGGUAGAACACAUGCUUAGCAUGCACAAGGUCCUGGGUUCAAACCCCAGUACCUCCA